AGCGAACGCUGGCGGCAGGCCUAACACAUGCAAGUCGAACGAACCUUUCGGGGUUAGUGUCGGACGGGUGAGUAACACGUGGGAACGUGCCUUUAGGUUCGGAAUAACUCAGGGAAACUUGUGCUAAUACCGAAUGUGCCCUUCGGGGGAAAGAUUUAUCGCCUUUAGAGCGGCCCGCGUCUGAUUAGCUAGUUGGUUGAGGUAAUGGCUCACCAAGGCGACGAUAGGUAGCUGGUCUGAGAGGAUGAUCAGACACAUUGGGACUGAGACACGGCCCAGACUCCUGCGGGAGGCAGCAGUGGGGAAUCUUGCGAAAUGGGCGAAAGCCUGACGCAGCCAUGCCGGGUGAAUGAUGAAGGUCUUAGGAUUGUAAAAUUCUUUCACCGGGGACGAUAAUGACGGUACCCGAAGAAGAAGCCCCGGCUAACUUCGUG
rnacentral:rRNA from 1 species